rnacentral:rRNA from 1 species
AUUGAACGCUGGCGGCAUGCCUUACACAUGCAAGUCGAACGGCAGCACGGGAGCAAUCCUGGUGGCGAGUGGCGAACGGGUGAGUAAUAUAUCGGAACGUGCCCAGUCGUGGGGGAUAACGCAGCGAAAGCUGUGCUAAUACCGCAUACGAUCUAAGGAUGAAAGCGGGGGAUCGCAAGACCUCGCGCGAUUGGAGCGGCCGAUAUCAGAUGAGCUAGUUGGUGGGGUAAAGGCCCACCAAGGCGACGAUCUGUAGCUGGUCUGAGAGGACGACCAGCCACACUGGAACUGAGGCACGGUCCAGACUCCUACGGGAGGCAGCAGUGGGGAAUUUUGGACAAUGGGCGCAAGCCUGAUCCAGAAAUGCCGCGUGCAGGAUGAAGGCCUUCGGGUUGUAAACUGCUUUUGUACGGAACGAAACGGCCCUUUCUAAUACAGGGGGCUAAUGACGGUACCGUAAGAAUAAGCACCGGCUAACUACGUGCCAGCCGCCGCCGUAACAC